rnacentral:lncRNA from 1 species
CUCCUUACAGCGACAGGGAGACAUAGAUCUCAUUGAGCGCCUCUCAUCCCAGACCACAAGGAACUGCCAUGUAAAAUGAACUCUGCUGAGGAUGAUCGCACAGCCAGAACUUAUCACACAAAGGGACACCCCCAUGCGAGGUGUCCCUUGCACUGGGCAGCAGAGGAGCGGACCAACCAACAAAUUUGAAUAUGGAAGAGGACAACACCCUGUAAAAAAGGGUAAGGCCUGGAGGUUUGACAGCUCUGGGGAGAAAUAAUGGACCUAGCCAGCAGCACUAAUCCUAAGAAAAGCUCAUGGCUGUGUAAACUACAAAAAAUAAAAAAUAAAAAAAUCCUUGGGUUUUAUUGCAAAAGUGACUCCUUCCUUGCA